UGUAGAAAACUUCUCAGGAAAACAUCAAAGAGGAAUUCAUGAGUCCUUGAAAAGCUAAACUAUUUCAUGGAUCCUAGGAGGAUAAAUGGGAACUUUGACAAGAAUGGAGAAUGUGGUACUUCAAAGGUGACCUAGGAACCAUACCUUUGAAAUAUAAUCAUCAAGGAAGGUAGCACCCAUAUUUCCCAGUUUCUGUGAGAGCCCAACCAUGACCAAGUUGCAAAACUACCACCUGUCAUAGAGGUUGGGGAGCACCAAAUGAUGUCACUGAAUCCAAAUCAGAAUCAGCCCAACGAAUGGAGCCAGGACCUUCAGGCAGUCUCUCAGAAGAAGGUACCUUGUCCAAGACCUGGCUUGGAGAAGAAGAAC